rnacentral:rRNA from 1 species
UCCGGUGGCGAUAGCGAGGAGGCCACACCUGUUCCCAUCCCGAACACAGAAGUUAAGCUCCUUAGCGCCGAUGGUACUGCACAUUUCUUGUGUGGGAGAGUAGGACGCCGCCGGAU